GAAGGUAGCUGGCAUUACAGAGAGCUAAAGAGCGUGGGUCCUUGAUGAGCAGGGAACUGCCAUUACAGCUCUGGACUUCCUGAGGAUUUCUUUUCAUAAAGCAUAAAUUAAUUUUUCUCAUAUUUAAACCAUUACUUUUUUAGGUCUUAGUUUCCCUGGGUGAAACUAAUCCUAACUAAUAUACUAUAAUUAUUAUUGUCAUCAUUAUUUUACUAGUACUAGUCCACAAUCCUGCUCACUCACAGAUUCCUUUUUUAGGCCACUAGAAACAGCCUAAAUGUCAUCCAUAGCAUAAUGAAUUUUGCCUUUGUUCUGAUCUCUGUUGCCAAUCUAAUCAUGCCUUUAAUGUGGGGACCCCUGCAUCCUCCUAGCCCCUGAGCGCAUGCAUGGUAUCCCUACUACUUUUCCUCCUCUGCUUCCUGAUUCUGAAUUUUCUAAUUUCUAAAUUCCCUAUUCUAGGUCUUUCCCCACUUUCCAUGGCUUUUCUUGAAGAAUUCUCAACUGACUGGGUGGGACUCAAGUACCCUGAAAGCAGAGGAGCGUUUGGGCCUCUCCUUAGCAGCAGAAGUUCCUUGAGGAGCAGUGCCACCUUUCCAUGA
rnacentral:lncRNA from 12 species